ACGAGUGAUGACCCUCAUCUCAUCUGCCCUGAACGUAGUGCUUCGUGCUCUCCCACACGGCGCCUCCGGGCUCUCCAACAGUCACCGCUCUUCGGUGCUCCACCAUCUCUCCCCGACAGUCAUCGCUCCUCCGCCGUCUAUCACUCAACCAUAACCCAGUGAGGAAUAUAUGACUUUUUAACGUCAACUAGAGGUUUAGGCUUUUGCCUAAUGGGUAUGAAUACCUCAGGUGAACUGUGAGUAAUACAACUUGAUCAAAGAAGGGUACUGGUGAGGUUCGUUUUUAGUUUGUUUUCACCUGUAAAGUAUUACGGUUUAGAUUAAAGAAACUUGGAUUUCUUGUUUGAGGAAAAUGAGAGGUAGAUGAGAUUGGUCAGAUUAUACAGCUAUUAGAAAGGCCACCUUUUUCUGUUGAUGCAUGUAGACUUGCGCUGGAUCUGGAUGUGCAUGUGAUGACCUCUUACUGCUGUGAAAUCUAUACCUAUUGUGUAUUCCUUUUUUCGCAGCUUCUUUAUCAGUUAAAAUCACAUUAUAUAUUUUUCAUGUAUUCUAGUUUAGAUUGAAGAAAUUUGGGCUUAAAGAAAAAUGAAAAGUAGAUGUUGAUGAGAUUAGAUAGCUCAAGUACCUUUUUCAUGUAUUGUUUGCCUUGUUCCCUGGAAGUAUUGUUUGCCUUGUUUGCCUUGUUCCCUGGAAGUAUGUAGACAAACUCAGGCAAUGAGAUUCUUGUAUUGAGCUCGCUAUUUGCUUGAAGCAUAUCCAUGGUAAAGGAUAAUAUCCCUAUUGGGAUUUUACUUUUGGAUUUGGCUCAUUUUUACACAAUUUAUACACUGAAUAUCAGCUUCUCACCUAACCUCAGUUUUGACCUAAAAGUCAUUCUUUUGUAAUCUUUAUCCAAACAAAAUUAAAAGGUACUGAACCGACUUUUGGGAUCCAAACUGAAGUUUAGACCACUCAAAGUGAGGUUUGGGUUUAAACCAAACACACACUAACACCAAUGGUGAGAGAAAAUAAAGUUCGUGUCUUGAAAAAGUGUGCCUGAAGUUCACAUUUUUCACCCAAAAAAGAAGUGUGUAUGAACUAUUUCUGAAUCAAAACCGCUACACACCAAAGGACAUGACAAAAAUAUUAACAAAUUUAAGAAAACAACCCAACAAAGAACAAACAUUGUCAUAAUAAAGCCAGAGAGCUUCUCAACAUCAUACUAUCUUUAUGACACCAUGUUAUUGUUACGAAUGAACAUGCACUGUGUGGGUGAAAAAUAAAAAAUCAUAUCAGAGAAAUGGGUUAACAAUAAAUGACAGAAUUCAAAUUAAUUUGAAGUGUUGUUGCCCAGAAAAAAUUCAAGUGGGGAACGCUAGUCUUUGCUAAAUUUCAUUUAUAAUAUAAACAUCUCCUGCCAAAACUGAGAAACCGAGAAAGAAGAGAAAGAAGAAACAAGAAAACACAUGGAGAAAGAAGAUAAAGCACAUGGACUGAGCAAUAAUGUUUCAUACCGAAACUGAGAAAGCAAAGGGAAGUUUUCAUACCCUUGCCGCAAUGUUUGAUUGUGCAGUGCAGCUGCCGUCAUGCUCAGUCACUCCAACGCUGUUGUCUAUACCGCGUCUCUGCUGCCGUCUUUGCCGUGUCGCUGCUGCCGUGCUGCCCUGCGUAAUGGGUUGCUCUGCAUCGACCAGUGUUUGAGGGAGAGAGUCUCGAGUGAUUUGAUCAUAAUAGGGUUUGCUUUUGAUUUUGAGGAGGGGCAAUGUUGUCAAUAAAAUUUAUAACUUGGGGUAUUGUUGCUUGAAAUUGUUGGUUUCAGAGAACUUAUCUCAGAUCCUUGGGUAUACCCAAGGAACCCAAUUCCAUCAAAUUUGAUGGAAGUGAGUUCCAAGUGAGAGUGAGAUCUGUCAUACCAAACAGCCCAAUUUUUAAAUUCCACUUCCA